rnacentral:rRNA from 1 species
UACGUAGGGUGCGAGCGUUAAUCGGAAUUACUGGGCGUAAAGCGUGCGCAGGCGGUUUUGUAAGCCAGAUGUGAAAGCCCCGGGCUUAACCUGGGAAUGGCAUUUGGGACUGCAAGGCUUGAGUGCGGCAGAGGAGACUGGAAUUCCUGGUGUAGCAGUGAAAUGCGUAGAUAUCUGGAGGAACACCGGUGGCGAAGGCGGCAUCCUGGACCGGCAUUGACGCUGAGGCGCGAAAGCCAGGGGAGCAAACGGG